AACGAACGCUGGCGGCAUGCCUAACACAUGCAAGUCGAACGAGACCUUCGGGUCUAGUGGCGCACGGGUGCGUAACGCGUGGGAACCUGCCCUUAGGUUCGGAAUAACUCCCCGAAAGGGGUGCUAAUACCGGAUAAUGUCUUCGGACCAAAGAUUUAUCGCCUUUGGAUGGGCCCGCGUUGGAUUAGCUAGUUGGCAGGGUAAAAGCCUACCAAGGCGACGAUCCAUAGCUGGUCUGAGAGGAUGAUCAGCCACACUGGGACUGAGACACGGCCCAGACUCCUACGGGAGGGAGCAGUGGGGAAUAUUGGACAAUGGGCGAAAGCCUGAUCCAGCAAUGCCGCGUGAGUGAUGAAGGCCUUAGGGUUGUAAAGCUCUUUUACCCGGGAUGAUAAUGACAGUACCGGGAGAAUAAGCUCCGGCUAACUCCGUG
rnacentral:rRNA from 1 species